GGAAGAGCGGGAUCCUGAGCGAGGCGCGGUAGGAGGCCAACACCUGACAUGCUGCUGCUCCUGCUGCUCCUGGGGCCCAGCUCCGGGCUGGGUGCUCGGGUCUCCCAGGAUCCAAGCACCGCGAUCUGCAAGAGCGGCGCCUCCGUGCAGAUCGAGUGCCGAGCGGUGGACUUGCAGGCCCAGACCGUGUUUUGGUAUCGUCAGCUCCCGAAGCAGGGCCUCACGCUGAUGGCGACUUCAAACGUGGGCUCCAGCACCACGCACGAGCCAGAUUUCCCCGAGGCCAAGUUUCCUAUUAGCCAUCCAAACCUCACAUUUUUCUCUCUGACGGUGACGAGUGCGAGUCCUGAGGACAGCAGCCUCUACCUCUGCAGGGCCUAG